rnacentral:lncRNA from 1 species
AUAAGCAAUAUGACUUUAUUUAGUGACUUUGGAAACAAAACCUCCCAAAUAAUGCCUGAACCCAAAGUUACCUAAAAAUGGCUAAAAAUAUUUUAAAAUAAUAGAUUUGAACAUCAUUUGUAGUUUCUGCCUCAUAACAUGAAUGCUUUCAGCUGGACAGUAGAUUACAAACCAUCUCUGAUCAUGUUAAGGCAGAUUAGAUGAUCAGUCAGUCCUGGAGCUGGCAGGGUCACCUUAUUGUCUCCACCAGAGAUGGCCAAUAUGUUGGCUGUGAUGGACCUGCCCGCAUGCUACAUGACAUCAUUGAACUUGUGCAGCAAUUUGGGAGACCAUAUAUUUCCCAAGGCAUCAUCACAGGUCCAGAUGAACACACGACCAUCCCAGGAGCAGCUGGCAAUGGUGCUGGUGGGCAGGCUGAUGGAGGGGGCCCAGGCCACAUCUCAAACCCAGUCACUGUGCUUCCAGCUUCUGCUCUCCUUCCACUGGCCAUCCUUGAAGAGGUUGUCACAGCCACCUGAUGGAAACUUCUUGAUGUAAUUGGGUUUCUGCCUGAACAGCUGGUCUAUGAGGCUUCCAGGUACAACAGCAGGGGCCUAGCUGAUGGCAUUGCAGCCAAUGGUGUAAGCGUUGUUGAUCUUUUUCACUUCCCAUUGGCCUUCCCCUGUAUAAGUCAGCAGGAAGAUGGCCCCAUCUGAGCUCCUACAGGCCAGGAUCAGGCCGUAGUCAUGGGGGACCUAGCAUACAGAGUUCACGGAGGAGUCAUAUCCUGAGGGGUCGUGGGUCUUCUCCCAGGUGCCGUUUUCCUCUUUCCAGAUAAUGACUUUCCAAUCAUAGGAGCACAAUGCCAGGAUAUUGCCAUAUGUGGGGUGAGCCCAGGCCACUUGCCACAUAGGACUCUCAUGACUUCUGAGGUUGGCAAUGAGGAUCUGCCCUCUGUUGUGCACUUUGAAGAUUUUGACGGAUUUUUCUGAUGAGCAGGUUGCCAGGCGGGUGCCAUAGUAGUCCAUCUGGGCAUCAUAAAUCAUAUCCUUAUGGGAGGUAUCCACAGUGUUAAUUACUGACACCAUGAUACCAGCGUGACUGCUCUAGG